ensembl:snoRNA
ACAUGGAUGUGGACUUAUGGCAGGGCCGUACCCCUGGUCCUGUCAGUGUCACACUGCAGAGCAAACUGUGAUGCAGAACCACUGCCUGGCCUAUCCCUGUAGGCUGCUGGCACUGAACUGGGUUGCACAUUG